rnacentral:rRNA from 1 species
GAUGAACGCUGGCGGCGUGCCUAAUACAUGCAAGUCGAGCGAACAGACGAGGAGCUUGCUCCUCUGACGUUAGCGGCGGACGGGUGAGUAACACGUGGAUAACCUAUCUAUAAUACUGGGAUAACUUCGGGAAACCGGAGCUAAUACCGGAUAAUAUAUUGAACCGCAUGGUUCAAUAGUGAAAGACGGUUUUGCUGUCACUUAUAGAUGGAUCCGCGCCGCAUUAGCUAGUUGGUAAGGUAACGGCUUACCAUGGCAACGAUGCGUAGCCGACCUGAGAGGGUGAUCGGCCACACUGGAACUGAGACACGGUCCAGACUCCUACGGGAGGCAGCAGUAGGGAAUCUUCCGCAAUGGGCGAAAGCUUGACGGAGCAACGCCGCGUGAGUGAUGAAGGUCUUCGGAUCGUAAAACUCUGUUAUUAGGGAAGAACAAAUGUGUAAGUAACUAUGCACGUCUUGACGGUACCUAAUCAGAAAGCCACGGCUAACUACGUG